rnacentral:rRNA from 1 species
UACGGAGGGUGCAAGCGUUAUCCGGAUUUAUUGGGUUUAAAGGGUCCGUAGGCGGAUCAGUAAGUCAGUGGUGAAAUCUCAUAGCUUAACUAUGAAACUGCCAUUGAUACUGCUGGUCUUGAGUAAGGUAGAAGUAGCUGGAAUAAGUAGUGUAGCGGUGAAAUGCAUAGAUAUUACUUAGAACACCAAUUGCGAAGGCAGGUUACUAUGUCUUAACUGACGCUGAUGGACGAAAGCGUGGGGAGCGAACAGG